rnacentral:lncRNA from 1 species
GAAGCAGUUGAGUGCUGCAGCGGCAGUCGUCGCCCCUGCCGCCGCUGCCACCGAAGGAAGCAUCCCAGACACCGGGAAGAGACAGGGUUUCACCAUGCUGUCCAGGCUGGUCUCGAACUCCUGAUCUCAAGUGUUCCGCUCGCCUCGGCCUCCCAAAGUGCUGGGAUUACAGGCGUGAGCCACCGGAUGGAAGAUGGUACCCCAAAGCAUAUCAUCCAGAUGACAGGAUUUAAGAUGGAAGAAAAAGAAGCGCUAGUCAAAUUACUUUUAAAACUAGAUUGCACUUUUAUUAAGAGUGAGAAAUACAAAAAUUGUACACAUCUUAUAGCUGAACGCCUAUGUAAGAGUGAAAAAUUUUUAGCAGCUUGUGCGGCAGGAAAGUGGAUACUAACCAAGGACUAUAUAAUUCAUAGUGCCAAAAGUGGCAGAUGGCUUGAUGAAACAACUUAUGAAUGGGGAUAUAAAAUUGAAAAAGAUUCCCGUUAUUCACCUCAAAUGCAAUCUGCACCUAAAAGAUGGCGUGAAGAACUGAAACGCACUGGUGCUCCAGGAGCCUUCCACAGAUGGAAAGUUGUCCU